rnacentral:rRNA from 1 species
AGAGUUUGAUCCUGGCUCAGGAUGAACGCUAGCGGGAGGCUUAACACAUGCAAGUCGAGGGGUAACAGGGGUAGCAAUACCUGCUGACGACCGGCGUACGGGUGAGUAACGCGUAUGCAACCUGCCCUAUACAGGAGGAUAGCCCGGAGAAAUUCGGAUUAAUACUCCAUGUAGCAUUUUUUUCGCAUGAAUUAGAUGUUAAAGAUUUAUCGGUAUAGGAUGGGCAUGCGUCCCAUUAGCUAGUUGGUGAGGUAACGGCUUACCAAGGCUUCGAUGGGUAUGGGGUCUAAAAGGAUGGUCCCACACACUGGCACUGAGACACGGGCCAGACUCCUACGGGAGGCAGCAGUGAGGAAUAUUGGUCAAUGGGUGAGAGCCUGAACCAGCCAUCCCGCGUGCAGGAUGACGGUCCUAGUGAUUGUAAACUGCUUUUCUAUGAGAUGAAUAAGAAUUACGUGUAGUUCGAUGACCGUAUUAUAGGAAUAAGCAUCGGCUAACUCCGUGCCAGCAGCCGCGGUAAUACGGAGGAUGCAAGCGUUAUCCGGAUUUAUUAGGUUUAAAGGGUGCGUAGGUGGGCGUUUAAGUCAGUGGUUAAAGCCAUUAGCUUAACUAAUGUAUGCCAUUGAUACUGGAUGUCUUGAAUGUGGUAGAGGUAGGCGGAAUGUGUUGUGUAGCGGUGAAAUGCUUAGAUAUAACACAGAACACCGAUUGCGUACGCAGCUUACUAUUCCAUUAUUGACGCUGAUGCACGAAAGCAUGGGGAUCAAACAGGAUUAGAUACCCUGUAGUCCACGCUGUAAACUAUGAUCACUCGUUUUUGGCGAUAUAUAGUCAGAGACUGAGCGAAAGCAUUAAGUGAUCCACCUGGGGAGUACGUUCGCAAGAAUGAAACUCAAAGGAAUUGACGG